UCCUAAAACUCUUUGUACUUUCCUCAUGGUGGACUCCGAUCUCCAAAACUCUAUCCACCGACGUCUGCUACCGCUAUAACCGCCAUUAGUGGUGACUCAAUAGCCUUCGAAAAUCCUUAAACCCGCCACCUAAACUAUUUCUCUUUCCCUCCCUACCUAUAAACAAGAGUCUCGAAAUCAGCCCACUCAACCCCAAAAUACCUCAUUCCCAAAAGGCUUUUUAUUGUGAUUUAUGUUUGUGUUGCUUUGUGUUAUUGUUGUUGAUUGAGGGCUGUUCAUGUUUUAUGGUUCUCUUUGAAAGAGAAUAUAGUAUGGGUCUUUGAUUUUGGAUUUUUUCUAUUGUUUUCAUUGAAUUUUCUGCAAUUGCUCCUUGUUGAUGGUUGCUGUUUGUUUAUAAUCCCUUAGUUCAAUCCUUCACAGAAAUCUUAAAUCAACAUAUUCAUAAGGAUUUCGGUUUGAAUAAAUUCAAUCCCCAAAACAAUUUUAUCUCCAAUCAUCCGUUUCAGCUUUAUUUUUUUUUAAUUUUUGGUUCUUUUUUUUAUUUUUAAAAAAUAAAUUAUAAACUAAAAAAAUAAAUAAAUUAAAAAAUCAAAUAUUGCAUAUAGACUUAAGACCCAAAUUAGUCCCAAAUCAAAUCAAAGCUUGAAUUACAAAUUCAAAUUCAAAUAAACUAAUAUAAAACUCAUAUACCGGUAAGAUUUUUUAUGCAAAAAAAUCUUUGAAUAAUUUUAUUUGAAACAUUAUUUUUCAAUUUAUCAAAACUUUCCUAUAUAGUUUUAUUUUUAUUUCUCAAAAAUUAUUAAAAUCACAAAAUCUUCCAUUAUAUUAGUAAUGUGUUGUAGUUUAUUUUUCAAAAAUUAUUUUCUUUUUAAAUUAUUAAAUUUUUUAAUAUAUCGGUAAAAUUUUAUUUUAACAUUUUAAAAAUUAACUCUCCAAUAUUGUGAUGAAGUUUUAAACAAUUUUUAUUUAAAAAAUAUUUAAAACAAUAAAUAUAUAAAAUAUAUAAAAAUACCAGUUUGGCUUAAUAAGUGGUGUGGCUCGGUGGCUCAAGACUGAUUCGGCUCGUGGCUCGGCCCAGCUCCAACUGCUGGAUGCUGAAGCGAGUCGCGGGUUGCAAGCGCUCUAAUCCGGUCGGGCUAACGGAAGCACGUGAAAAUUCUCUUUUAAUAAAACAGUGCGUUUAGGCUUCUAUAAAAGUGAAAAAUUUUUUCCUCACAUAUUUUUUUUCUUUUUUUUCUCUAAACUAAUUUUUUUUCUACCCUCAGUCUUCCCAAACCCAGAAACAAUGAACUCUGGCACUAGAUUUUGAAAAAUCUUAACGGAAACUUAAAAAUGUCUUAGAAUUUCGUCGAAAAAAUCAAAGAUUUACUGAAAAACUCAAUAGAAUUUGGAGAAUUUCUAGAUUUUUAAAAAAAAAUUCAGCCAAUGCCCCCUUCGAGAGAUUUGAUCUCACAAACGCUGUAAUCUGCAACUUCACCUCAAAAUCACACUUAAAACCUUUCAAACCCGGAAAAACAAAAUAAUAAUACUUCAAAUCAGUAUCCUCUUCCAGCCAAACUCUCACCCAAUUUUUUUUUUUUUGGCUAAUUUCACUCUCUUUUUUUUGUGUGAAUUCUCUCUGUACAAUUGCUUUCCCCUUAAUUGUUGCAACAACUUAAGUAUGUAUAAUAGUUGAAUCCCGAUUUAGAUAGAUAUCCAAAACAAAAAAGAGAUCGAGCUCCUAAAAAUACAUCUAUCAUAAUUUCUAAAUUUUUUCUGAAAAAUUUUAUCAUAAAAAAAGUCCAUCUAUUUUUGGAUUUGACCUAAAAAAUUGCACAUAUCCAACAUAAUCAAAAACCCCAAUCCCUGUUGCACCAUCUUUAUCAUUUUGGGAUUUUUUAAGAAAUAGUAAAAAAUAAAUACAAAAGUAAAAUAUCCGAAAGAUAAAUAAUAAUAAACCAAAACGAUAAAUAAAAAAAAUAAAAGAAACUAAAAUAAAAAUUGAAUUCAUUAAAGGAAAGAAAAUUAAAGAAAAUAAAAACAAAAAUAAGAAUGAAAAUUGACCUAAUGUAGACCAAACUCAAUUUAAUAAGUUUAGGCCUAAACCGAUUGUGGCCCAAUGUCAAAGGGCAACUUAAAUCAUAUGGGUCCUAUUCAAAACCCAAUUGCAAGCCCACUGAAUUAAAAUGAAUUUUGUUUGAAAGAUUUCGAAUAAAACAGGAUGUUUAUGCUAAUUUCAGACUUAGAGAGAACAUAUAUGCGAAGAAGUAGAAGUUCAGGCCCAAAGCAAUUGUGGCCUAAUGCCGAAUGCCAACUGGCAACUCAAAUCAAAUGGUCCCUCUUCAAAACCCAAUUGCAAGUCCAUUGAAUUUGAAUGAAUUUCAAAAUCCAAUUGCAAACCUAUUGAAUUAAAAUGAAUUUGAAAUUUUAAAAAAGUUUGAAUAAAAUAAGAUGUCUACAUUAAUUUCAAGAUCAGACAGAGAGAACAUAUAUAUGAAAAAGUAGCCAGCAGCAGCUUGGGCUUCGCUGUUGUAAUACUAACUUAUUAAGGUCAAAAGUUAAAUUAUAAAUAAGAUUUGAAAAUUAGUAAUGAAUAAGAUUUGUUAUUGUAUCAAGAGUUGGUUAAGAAAUUUGUUAAUUUAAGCAAUAACUUGUAAGAUAUAGAAUAGUGCUAUUUGACCCCACAAUUUUGUCCCCUUUAUUUGUCCCUCUUGAUAUGGUAAAAAUUUUUUUAAUGAUUGAGAAUCUACCAUUUAUGGUAGGUAAAAUUAUUCAUAAAUACACUGUUUAAAUUAAAAGCAAUGAAAAUUUGUUACCUCAAGAGAGAAAAAUAGUAGGGACAAUAAGUUCAAGAAACAUUUUCCGUAUAUAUAAUCAUACACUAAUAAUGGGUCCAAUAUAAAAAAUAAGUGUCUAAUGCUUGUAGUUAAUGCCAUAAUAUUGCAGGAGAUUUGCUCAAUUAUGGAGCUUCUAGGGCCAAUUAUUGAACUGCUGAAGUGGUUAGGAGAUCGGACGUGCAGAUUCAUAGACGAUCAUAGAAAAUUUGAAGAAAGGAUCAAUGAUCUUCGAGCAAGAGAAGGCCAUCUAAAUGCUCUGAGGAGUGAGAUAGAAUCGAGAAUAGAAGCAGAGCUUCUUUCGGGAAAAACUUUAAAAGUAGCAGUUACGAAGUGGCUAGAAGAUGUGCAAAGGGACAAUGGUGAAAUACAGACCAUGAAUCAAAGAGUGCAAAAUGCGUCUUGGUUUUCACGUGCACGUCUAGGAAAACGUGUUGCUGAAAUAAAGGAACGAGUGGAGGAAACUAUUAAACGAGGUGAUGGAUUUACUGAAGCUCUAGUAAUUGAUGAUCCAUCCUCUGCUGGAGUGGCUUUUCAAUUGGAACCUUUAGAAGGUGAGGCCACUGUGAAGGAACAAAUUUGGAACUACUUGAUGGGUGAUGAAAUUGGAAUGAUUGGAGUUUGCGGGAUUGGUGGAGUAGGGAAAACUACUGUCAUGAAGCACAUACACGGUCAACUUUUGGAGGAAGCUAAAGCUCGGUUUCAUAAAGUGAUAUGGGUCACUGUUUCGAAGGAAGUCAACACCACCAACGUACAGCAAGUUAUUGCAGAUGCUCUGAAAAUUGAAUGUCUUCCGGAUCAGAACCAGGACGUGCAGCAGCAUUAAUGGAUAAAUUGGGAAAAAUAAGUUAUGUAUUGAUUUUAGAUGAUGUUUGGAGAAAGUUCUGUGUCUGGGAGUUAGGGAUCCCUAAACCAACAUCAAGCAAUCGGAGUAAAUUGGUAUUAACUAGUAGAUCUAUUGAUGUUUGUAGGACUAUGGGCUGUGCGAUAGUCAAAGUGCAACCACUUUCAAAUGAGGAGUCCAUGAAUUUAUUCUUGGAGCAUGUUGGACGUGGGGUUUUAGAAGUUCCAUCUUUAAAAGAAAAUUUGGACUGUAUUGUUCAAGAGUGUGGUGGGUUACCCCUUGCCAUUGUCGUAAUAGCUGGGAGUAUGAAGGGAAUAGAUGGAGACGCUGAAUGGAGGAAUGCAUUAAGAGAUUUACGUGAACAUGUAAGAAGUGUGAAGGGCACAGACAAGGAAAUAUAUGAGAGAUUAAAAUUCAGUUAUGAUCGUUUGGGAGAUUCAAAAACCCAAAACUGUUUUCUCUAUUGCUCAUUAUAUCCAGAAGACUGUAAAAUUUCAAGGAUGGAAUUAAUAGAACACUGGAUAGAUGAGGGAUUUCUCGGAAUUGGCAGUCGACAAGCUCUCUAUGAUAGGGGUCAUGCUAUAUUAAAUGCGCUGGAAGACAAUUGUUUGUUGGAAAAGGUUGACGAUAGAAAUGUGAAGAUGCACGAUGUACUGAGAGAUAUGGCAUUGUAUAUCAAAGAUAGUCGUUUUAUGGUAAAAGCUGGCAUGGGAUUGAGAGACUUACCAAGCAAGCAAGCAUGGGCAGAGGAUCUUGAAAAAGUUUCAUUGAUGAGCAACUACAUAUCGGAAUUUCCUCCGGACUUGUCACCCAAUUGUAAGAUUCUUUCAACCUUAUUUUUGCAACAGAAUAAGAACUUACAGUGGAUUCCAGAAUUGUUCUUUCAGCAUAUGCAUGGACUCUGCAUUCUCGAUCUUUCUUAUACCAAUAUUGAGCGACUGCCGGAUUCUGUGUCGAACUUGGAAAACCUCAAUGCAUUGGUGCUUUUUGGAUGUUACAAGUUGAGAUAUGUGCCUUCGUUAGAAAAGUUCAAGGCUCUGGGAAAAUUGGACCUCUGUUAUACGGCUACUGAAAAGGUGCCUGAUGGUUUGGAAAUGUUAGUAAAUCUAACAUAUCUUAAUUUAUGUACAGAAUGCUUAAAGAAGCUUCCAAUUGCAAUUCUACGUAAGCUUUCUUGUCUGCAGUAUUUGGUAUUGUACGUUGAAUCAAGUACUUUAAAAAUUAAUGGAUCGGAUGCUGCCAGAUUAACAAAGCUGGAGAUGUUUGAAGGGAGAUUUAAUAAGUUGAAUGGACUUUAAAUUACAGCAAGUCUAUACAAUGUCAAGAGGCGUACUUCUUACUUGCUUGUUAUGGCACCAUUCGAAAGCCAAGUUUGAUUGCACGACCUUGAAGGUGGAACGCUCAUCUCUUACUUAUGUUUUCAGACUCGUAUGGCUGCAACAAAACUCCAGCGCACUGAAGCACAAAACUCCAGCGAUGAUGACAGGUACUGACAGUAAAUCUUUAAAACUUUACUAGAUUAAUUCCCGUAAUUAUAAUAGUCAUAUCACAUUCCUUUCAAUCAUGGGAAUUUUGUGUGAAUAAUUAUAACGAGUAAAUUCACAUAUUAGAAUAAAACAAAAUGAUAAUUUUGGUACUCAACAAUAAAAUUUUGCUAUUAGCGUCCUUGAACUUUCAAAAAUAUAUAUCAAUUUAGUGAAUCUAACCUCAUGUUACAUCAAAUUGGGUUUUCAACGAUUUCUAAUCCGCUUUUAAAGACAAUUAAAACGUGAAGAAAGCUUAUAGAAUUUAAAAUCAGUUUUAGUAUAUAAACGAAUCCCAACUAUUACUUUAAUUCGUUUCCUAAUAUUUCCAAUAAAACUCAAUUGCAACCAAAUACACCCGCAUAGUUGCUAACAAUUAACCUACUUGCAUUCUCAUUAAAAUUAGUUUAAUUUUUUGCUUUGAUUUUAUUUCUUUUCAUCUUGGGUUUUCUUGUGAUUAUAUGUUUUUUGAUAAAAGACUCAAAAAAGACUGUAUUUGAUGAUAUUUCAUGCCUUAAGUUUGAUGGUAGUAAAAAGAAUAGAAAUAUAAUAAUAUUUAAAAAUAAUAAUAAUACUAGAUUAAUUUUUUUGAUACAUUAACUAAGAUUAAAAUGCUUUUCAUGAGGAUUGAUUCGAUGUUGAUGAGUACAUAAUAUUUAUCACCUGCUUUUUAAAAAUUAUGAUGUGAUAUUAAUUUAAAGGGUGUCUAAAAGCGCUCUUUAAAAUAAUUUUAAUAUACUUUAAACUCGAGAUAAAAAUAAAUAGAUAAGAUAUAAACAGAUAUAUAGAGGGAGAGAGACACAAUAAAAAUUAAGGACAAAAUUGUUAAAUUUAAAAUUUAAUUAUUUACAAUUUUGUUGUACUUUUUUAUAAAUGAAAGUGAUACACUACUGACAGUGAUGAUUAGUUAUGUCUGUACUUGUACGCUAGAAUAAUUGUCAUAUCAGAAAUUGAGUUUGAAUAUUUGAGCAUAAAUUUAACUUUAUGUUAUUUUUGAUUGGUGAAGGUACGGAAAUUGUGGGCAUAGGAGGGGCUGAUCAUGAACUGAUCAGAGUUGUUGGAGCGCUGUAUCCUACUGAAAUUGUAAAGAAAUUGGCAGAGAUUGGUAUCAAGGCUGUCCAUCUGAAGCUUCCAUAUCAUCUGCCCAAGAAAGAUGUGAUUUUAAGUGGGUGCCCGAUAGGAAGAGAAGUUCCUGUAGCACUCCCAAGUGACCUUAGGUGUCUAAGAAUUUUUGAGUGCCACAAUGUGAGAAGCUUAAGCGACAUUUCCUUCUUCCAACAAACAAAUGAGUUGAGGUUCUGUUCAAUUCAUGAUUGUAGAGGGAUAGAAUCUGUGCUUGACUUAUCAUCAUCGCCCUCACCAUGCACCCCAUUUCAGAAGCUUGAGCUCUUGUGGCUUGAGAAAUUGGAUAACCUGCGUAUGCUUGUUAAAGUAGGGGAAGCAUGCGAUGUUUCUAUGUCGAGUUCAGUCGUGCCUCUGCCAGGCGUCUUGUCCCAUCUUAAAUCAUUUCGAAUUGAAGCAUGCUCAAACAUGAAGCAGCUCUUUCCGUUUGAGUUAGCACACGGCCUCCAAAACCUGGAGAACCUGGUAGUUCGUAAUUGUGGACAAAUGAAGGAAAUAAUAGCAUCAGAAGAAGAAGAAGAGGAAAAUCGCAAGGGAAAAGCAACGUAUUCCCCCACCAAGUUCACUUUUCCCAAAUUAAGGAUGUUCGAAUUAAAUAACUUACCAGAGCUAAAGAGCAUCUGCAGUUCAAAUAGGAUAAUGACAUGCGACUCUCUUCAGGAUAUUGAAGUACGGGAAUGUCCGAAUCUAAAAAAGAUGCCUCUAUAUCUUCCUCUUUUCCAAGACACUGACCAACAACCUUCUCAUCCUUUCAAGAGAAUUCGCGUAUAUCCAAAGGAAUGGUGGAAAUCAGUAGAAUGGGACUAUCCGAGUGCCAAAAAUGUUCUGCAACCUUGGUUGGAACUGGAAUGAAGCAAAGAGCUGCUGGAAGCCAUUCAAAUCAAAUUCCUCAAGCUAAAACAGUGAGUUUUCAUUUGUUUCUGUUCUGGAAAAUUUUGAAGAUUCUUUAUCAACAAAAAAGGCUAUUAAGAUAGGAAGAAUAGAAACUAAAGCAGUCAGCAAAUAAAGUUUACCAAUGUUAAAAAUAAAUGUAGAUCAAUUUGCUAGAACCUUCAAAUGAAGAGUCAAGACCCUUACUUUACUAGAAAUAGAGUUUUGCUUGUUUAUUUGCAAAGUUUAAGAGGGCUUCCUAGACAUAUCUGUUGUCAAUCUUGUAAGGCUUAUUAGGUUGAGGAUAGUUUCAUUGGUUCAAUUCCCAAAAUAUGUCAUUUGUUUCAAUAUUGGGUUUAUCCAAAUGUUAGGAUGCCCACUACCCUAAUUCUAUUACUGCUGAUGACUUUAGUCCAUUAGAAUGAAUGGAAAAGCUGUUUUAAUUAUGCUAUGCCCUUUUUCUUCUUUGAAAACUGCAAUGUUACCUAUUCCAAUCCUUGUUACGUUCUUACAAUCUUUUAUUAGUUUGUUCUGUUAAUGUAUUCUUGUAUGCUUAGAACAAUAUUUGAUUUUCCUUUUGUGGAUUCUAAUGAUAUAGGGUUGUUGCAUUCCUGAAGCUAGCAAAAGCAGCUGACCAAUUUAAAUCUUGGAGAAACUCAUCACCGAGGUUCAUUAAUUCUUCUGUUGUGCUUUUAUCUGUGAUGUAAUACUUCAUCGGAUGAAUCGUUCUUUUGUUGGUUUUAUCUGUCAUAAAGAUCAAUUUGGUUUUGAUCUGGUUGGACUGUUGAUGUUGUGAUUUUUUCUUUUUAUUUAGCGGUUUGGGGGGUUUUUGAGUUUUUUGACGUUGUGAUUUAACCUUGAACUUAAGUAUCUUAAGUUUAGUUGGGUGAUUUGGCUAUUUGGUUGUAUUUCAGGAUCUUAUAAAUUAAAGUUAUUCUAAGUUGUUGAUUUGUAGUUUGAUAGUAGGAGUUUUGUAGUUGAUUUGUUGUUGACAUGUAGCACUGAUUCUACUGAAUUUAUUUGGCACAUGCUGUUUUAAUCAUCAUUUCUUCGACAGUCAAUGUGUAGCUAUUUCAUGCAAACUUUUUCAGGGAACUGUGCCACUGGUUUGAAGUCAUGUCAAAUCUCUGAUUGUGAGGAUAUGGAAUGUGCAUUUCAGUCAUCCUCAAGUCCACCACCUUAAAUCUUGGAGUUGCAAGUACUUGUUUUCUACAGGGAGCAGCCACAGUUCUUCCUAUAGCACAUUUUUCAAAAGAUAAUCAUAUUUAUUAAAUUAAGAUAUUAAAUAUGAUAUAAAAUAAAAUAAAAUAUAUAUUUGAAUGAAAUAAAAUAUUUUAAAUUUGUAUCCCAUUUGAUUUGAUUUGAUUUUUUUUUAAAAAGUUUGAUUCAAUCUCUUUUUUUUUUACAUUACAUCUAUUAAAUUCAAAUAAAUUGAAUUUCAUAAAAUAUGAGUGUUUCAUCGUAUAUGCUUGUAUUGACAUUUUUCUUUACAAAUUGAUUUACCACUUUCUUUCAUUGAGAAAUCUCUCAUUAAAAAUAUUGAAAACAAAAAAAGUUAAAUGUAAAAAAAAAAUAGAAAUCACGUAAACACAUUCGUUAUCUUUUAUAACGAAGAUCUAAUUUAAAAAAAAAAAAGAAGAAAAAUCUUAAAAAUGAAAAAAUAGAUAAAAAGAAGAAAAAAAGGAAGAAACUUGAAUUUGCAUGCGGCAUCAACGAGGACGAGUUUUUAUAAAAAAAGUUAUAUUAUGAAUUAAAAAAUAAAAUUAAAAAAGAAAGGAUUGAAAAAUUUUUUAAAAUCAAAUUCGAAUACGAUACGAACAUAUCUACUAAUAUAAUUAUUUUAAAAAAUAUCAAAGUAAAAAAAAUAAAAAAGAUAAAAGAUAAAAAUAUAUUUUAAAAAUAAUAUCAAAUGACCCAUAUUAAAAAGUUAAAAUAUAAAAAAUAUUUGUUAAAUAUUAAAAAAAAAGUUAACAAAGAAAUGAAACAAUAAAGAAAAUCAAAUAGCUUAACGUGUUGUAUAUCAUUGAUAUAAAACCGAUUUUACAAAAGAAUAUAAAUCUAAAAAUGAUUUAUCAAUUAUGAAAAAAUAAAAAAACAAAAACCUAAAAAACAAAAAGAAAUACAUGGUGUGCCUUGAUUAGUAAGUGAGUUUUAAAAUAAAAUGAAAAUGAAAAUAUUUUAUGAUUUAUCAAUUAUGUAAAAAUAAGAAAAGAAAAACCUAAAAAAAAAAAAAAGAAACACAUGGUGUGCAUUGAUUAGUAAGUGAGUUUUAAAAUAAAAUUAAAAUGAAAAUAUUUUAAUUUUUUUUGAAAAAAAUUAGAAGAGGAAGAAGUACAAAAAGUCAUAAAAAGAAAAGGAAAAAAUUAGUAUAAAUGACUUCUAUACAAAAAAAAAAGUAUAAAACAUAUUUUUUAUUUUUAAAAUAUAUUAUUAUAUUAUAACAUAUAUAGACACUGAAUAAACUUUGCCUCAUAAACAUUUAUGUAAAUAUUUUUUUUGAAUGACUCGUAGAAUAGUUUUUUUAAAAAAUAAGAUAACUUUUUUUAGUUACAAAUUAAAUAAUUUUAAAUUUAUUUAAAUAUCAACAUUAUUGAAAUUAUAAUUGAUAAUUUAAUCAAUCAAGAGAUAUUCUUUUUAAAUUAAAAAUCUGAUCUAUGACUUUUAUCUUCAUAAUAAAUAAUUUUAGGUAUUUAUCAAAUAACUUUAUUUAAGAAAUUAUUUAAUUAUCAAAAUCUUUCAAUAUGUUUAAAAAUUAUAAAAAUUAAAUUUAUCCAAAUCUUUCAACAAUUUCUUUUUAUCUUAAUUUAAAUCAAUAAAAAAUUAUUCUUUCAAAACUUUACAUUAGAUAUUGAAAAUUCAAACAACUUUUCAUAUUAAAUCUUUAAAUAAUAAUACUAUAAAAAGUAUCAUAUCCAUCUCAACUCUAAUUAUCAAAUUUAUUUUUUCAAAUAUAUGCAAAAAAUUUGAUUUUAUCUUUAUCACUUAUCAUAUCCUUUUAAAUUUUAAAAAAUUAAUUUAAAAAUCAUCUAUUCAAUCCUAAUUGUCACUCAAGAAUUUUUUUUAUAAACUUAAGAUUAUAAAUGUAAUAUAUUAAUAAGUUUGUAAUUUUUUUUCAAGGUAUAUUCUAUUACUAUUAUAAUUUAUUUUUUGUGUUUACAACAUUUUUCUAAGAUAUAUUUUAUUACUAUUGCAAUUUUAUUUUUAUAAAAAAAAUAUUUUUUCAAUUUAUUUUUUUUUUCACAUAUCUCUUAAUAUUUUUAAUAAUUUAUUUAAUAAUUUGAUCAAAAUUAUAAAAAUAAAAAUAUAUUAAUAUUUUUUUAUUACUUAAUUCAUCAUUCAACAAAUAUAUACGUUUUUAUUUAAAAAAAAAAAACAGAAUGAUAUAAUCUUACAUAAAUUAUUGUGCGUAUUUCAUAUUUGGUUGCUAUUCCUUUACUGUAGUUUCCUUUCCCUUGAGUGAUAUUUAUCCAAAAGGAAGAGCUUUGGCUGGUCGGCAUCUUACUAUUCUUCCUUUUUUAAGCAUAAUUAAUUGGUUCGAAUCCACUUCGUUGUUUCUAUCAUUCAUUAUCCUUGUCUUGAUUGCAGAUCUCUCAUCUUUUAGGCAACAAUUCCGAUUUUAUAUAUAAAAAAACCAGAAGGCAGUCAGGCAAGCUACAUCAUCUUCUUCUUCUGAUUUUAAUUUUUUACUAAUUUUUUCCCAGAUUCAAUCUAUUUUCUAUUUUAGUGGGUUUUGUGGUCUCUCUAAUCCAAUCUCUUUUCUAUUUUAGUGGGUUUUAUGAUCUUUCUGAUUAAUUGUGUCUGUUUACUCCUGGAAAUGCAGAACAGAUUCGAAUAAUCACUUUCUUGGAACUUUCUCUUUUGCGCUGUUUUAUAUACAGUAGUAUCCGAGGUAAGCUUUUCUUUCCUCUAAGAGAUCAAACAGUGUCGGUGUGGGUUUGAGAAUACUGACUUCAUCUUUGUUGUCACAUAGCUGCUAUGGGUUUUGGGGGAAUUUUCGAAUUAGGACAUUGGAGAGAAUCGCGUUUGCUAGCAUUACAGUGUAUAUAUUUAAUCUUUGAUAACUAAUAAGUAAGAAAAUCUCAAUUAUCAUUUUAAUCUGAAAUCAUUUAACAAAUUUCCCACUUAGAAAGAGGGGAGAACAUAUGUAUGAAGAAGUUGCCAGCAGCAGCUUGGGCUAUCGCUUUUGUGGUACACUAAAUUUUUAAGGUCAAAAGUUAAAUCAUAAAUAAGAUUUAAAUUAGAAAUGAAUAAAUGUUGUUAUUGUUUCAAAAAUUGGUUAGAAAUUUAUUAAUUGAAGCAUUAACUUGUCAGACAAAAAAAAAAAAAACUCAAUCUAUUGGUUAAUCUUCUAUAAAUCACUUAUUAAUUUAUAAUUUUGUAAACAAAGGUUUACAAAUUAAUCAAUAAUAUAAUAAAAAAAAGAAACAUACAUGCCGUUAAUAGAUAAUAAUGAAAAAUUAUACUAAUGGGGACUUUUUAGUUACAUUUUGUGCAUGGUAAACAAAUAUUUAUAUUUGUUUUUUAUUUUUAUUAGUAGUGAAUUAUUGUAGAUGGGUUUAUUGUUUUUAUUUUAGUUUAAUAUUAAUAAUUUUAAAAAAUUAAUAAUAAAAAAAAAGAAAAUGAGACAAAAAUCAAAAGGCUGGUACAGUGUCGCUGCCGCCCUUGACUAGCCCCUGACCAGUCCCCUGUUCAGCCCACCUACAACCACCCAAAUCCCCUUAUAUGAAGCUCUUAAAAACCUCAUAGAUUCUUCUCCUUCGAAACUUUUUUCUGGGACACACGAAGAGCUUACCCUUUAUCACUGCCCAGCCCCCUUUCAACAAGCUCAGUCCCUAUACUAGCACUCCAAUUCGAGCCUCAACCCUCACCAAACCCAAUCUCAAACAAAACCCUACACUAACCAUUAAAAAAACAGAAAAACAGAAACAAAAAAAAGGAUAAACACAGUCCUUCCCACAGAGAAGAACCCAGUGCCAAAGCUACCUGCAAAAGCAAAAAAUCACGUCAGUCUUGUUUCAACAAAACAAACAAAAAAAAAGAGAAAAGGGGAAACAGAAACUUUGAGCCCCGAUCUAUGCUGAUCGGGGCUAUUUUCGAUAAAAAGAAGGUCAGAUCUAGGAAGAGCGCAUUGAAGAGCGCUUUCGGGAGUAUUUUGGCAUUUUUCGAUCGUCGACGACCAUCGGCAUCUACCGUCGACGGUGACCCAAAUGGUGGUCGGAGCGACAGUCCGACGAUCGGACGGUGAGAGAGCUCUGGAGCUCUCCCUCUUUUUUUUUUUUCUGAAACGAAAAAAGAAUGAACAAGAAAAAUUUUUUUUCAGUUAUAUAUAAAAGACUAAGGAGCAAAACAACGUCGUUUUAGGCUAAAAAGGAUCCGCGCAUUAACCCGGAUCUAACCCGGGAUCCGCGCAACCCGACCUGUGGACCUGUUCUUCCAACAGUUGUUGAUCGGUCCAAUUGAAUCGGUUUGAACCGGACCGAAUCGUAGACCGCUAGCCCGAACCAUUAACUGAACCGUAGAACUGGUUAGAUCGAUCCAGACCAACGUUGACCGGUCUGGUUCAAGUAAAAUUUUUUUUUUUUAAUUUUCUAAAUUUUUUUAUUUUUAUUAUUUUGAGUACUCUUUUUUAUUCUUACGUGAUAAAUUUCUAAAUUUGUUAAAAUAAAUAUUUAAUUGUGUUUAAUAAUAAACACAAUUAUUAUUCAUGAAAUAUAGGGUGCCAGAUCCAUCAGAAGAUAUAGUGAUGAAAGAUAAGUAUGAUCUGUUGGAAGGGAGAUUGAAAGUAAUUGAAAGCCAUGAUGUGUACGAGAAUGUUGGCACCAUUGAACUUGGUCUAGUACUUGAUCUUAUUAUUCAAUCAAAAUUUAAAGCCCUAAAUUUUGAGAAGUAUGAUAGAAUAAAAUGUCCUUUAACACACAUCACCAUGUACUGUCAAAAAAUGACAGGCUACACUCAUAAUGAUAAAUUGUUGAUCCAUUACUUUCAAGAUAGUCUCACUGAACUUGCAGCAAGAUGGUAUGCUCAAUUAUAUCGAAGUAAGAUUUACUUUUGAAAUGAAUUGGCUAGGGCUUUCUUAGCACAAUACAAGUAUGUUGAAGAUAUGGUGCCAGAUAGGCUGUCUUUGCAGAACAUGAAAAAAAGAUCAACUGAAACAUUUAAAGAAUAUGCACAUAGAUGGAGAGAUAUAGUAGCUCAAGUACAACCACCCUUGUCAGAGAAAAAAAUUACUGUUCUAUUUGUUAAUUUUUUGGACACUCUCUAUUAUGAAAGAAUGAUUGGGAAUCUCUUCAAAAACUUUUCGGACAUGUUGAUUUCUGAUGAAAUUAUAGAAAAUACAAUUAAGAGUGACAGAAUUAAGUUAAAAGAGGUGAUAGAUGUUGAAGAGGAAAGUACAUCAGAACAGAAUAAAAGAGAGGUGUAAGUAGUCACAAUGGAGGGGCAUAUACCUAAUAGCUUUAUCCCGUACGAUUUUUAUCCUGUUUAUUAACCUCAUCACCCUGUCAUAAGCUAUAUCUCUCAAAACUCAUAUCUUUGCCAACCAAGCCAGCAUUUGAGCUUUCCAUCAAAUUUCCAUCCUCAAAUGGUCAUUCAUGAUCUUGUUCCUACAUUUGAACCCAUCACCCAACCAACAAAGAAUCGAAAGAGACCAAGGAAUGAUUAAGAGAAAUUGCCCAUCCCUAUUUCUCACCUUUUACCUUUGCUAAUAGAAGGUCAAUAUCUCACUCAUGUGCCUCUAAAAAUAAUACCAAAUCCAUCAGCAAUGAGUUACAAUCCCAAUGAUAAGUGUAAUUACCAUAUGGGGGUAAUUGACCACUCAACUGAAAAAUACAAGCAAUUGAAAGAAAAGGUUGAAGAUCUUAUUAAGAAUGGUAUUUUGACUCCGAAGGUAAUAGAACAAUGAAAGUUGUUGACUCCAUUCAAUUGUCAAAUGUGAGAAGUUGAGAUGAAGAGGGAGGUUUCGAGUUUUUAAAAUUAGGAUAGGAUAAUUUUUUUUUUAUUUUUUUUACUGUAUAUGUAUGACAUGUGCAUUAUGUCUCUAGAAGUUAUCUAACUUAUUUUGGAAGAAUUGAAUACUUUGGAUCUUUUUCAUGAAAUUUUCUCUUUAUGCAUUUGUUUGAAUAAAAGUCCCACAUAAGUAACUGUAAAAAAAAAUAAAAAAAAAAGAAAAAAAAAGUUUUCUUUUGCAAUAAAGAUAGAAGGAUUCUUAAGGGAAAUGGUGAUUACUAUUAGAAAAAAGCUCAUCAAAUACCUCCAUACUUUUUUAAAUACUUUUAUGCCCCUAAUCACUUAAAUGAUUGGAGUAAUCAACCAUAACCUUUCAAAGAAUGUGAGUUUGAGUUCAUAUCUUAAAGGGUCGAUAAUCUCCUCUUGGGCAAAGAACAAAAGAGAUUAAUUUUAAAAAUUUAUUUUGAAUUUCAAAAAUCAGAUACUCUUUCAAAUUUUUAAUUGGUAAUUCAAUGUGUCAAAAUUUUGCCAUGAUCAUAGACACAAAAAUACCUGAAUUUUUUUUCUCUCUUAAAUAACCUUUGUUUCAUGUCUUAAGGCACAUUGAGAAAAAGAAAAAAAAAUAAUCCCUUUCUGCCUAAGACAAUUUGUUUCAUACCUUUAUACCUUUUUUCUUCUUUUUACUAAAAAAAAAAAAGUCAAAAAAAUUUUUGAAGCACAAAGAGCCUUUUUGAACUAUGUGAUCGAUCCUAUUCGACUUGAUCGUCAUUAGAACCUUGAGUGAAAAAACAAGAUAGGGCAUCGAAAAAUUAAAAAAAAAAGCAAAAAGAAAAAAAAAAGAGACAUCUUCAAUGAUUUGUUCUUCUAGCCAAGUGAUCAUGUUUGAAAUGAUGAAUGGCUAUAUUUCUCUAUCCUUCAUAUAUAAAAAUUAUUCAUUUGUUACCCAUUUGAGCCUAUUAAAUUUUUUGUUCCAAAAUAAAUCAUAGCCAAAGAUCAUUUUCUACAUUGGGGGGAAAAUUAUUAUAUAUUCAAGAUCAACUUCAAGAAAAAUAUCCGAUAAUUGAAAGCAUUUAAUAUGCCUCUCAAAAAUGAAAGUUUGGGACAAAAAGGGAAUAAGACUUCAAUUAGAAUCCUAACGAUCCGAGAAAGUGAACGGUCAAAGAUAAAGUUAGGCAUUUCUAAGGCGAAGCAAAGAAACUUUCGAGAUAAGAAUUUAGAGCUUCAAUUAGAAUUCAACAAAAAAAAAAGAAAAACAAAAAAUAUGUACCUUGAAAAUGAGAAUUCAAGGCAAAAAAAAAAAGGGUGAGUAAAGUUGCUAAAAUUAAAGCUAAAUGUUUCAAAAAAAAAAGCAAAGAAAGAAAGUCAGAUAAUGCUCUUCAAGAUCCUUGGCCUAAUUACCCUGAAUAACAUAUUUUGAGCCUGUUUAUCCAUUCUUUCAGAACUUCUAACCUUGGCCUACAUUACACACCUUGAAAAGUUUAUUUUAAUAAAAUGUGGACACUUGGAUUGAAGAGCAAUGUCCUUGAAUUUGUAUAUACUUGUUGAUUUCUUCAUUGACAAAAAAAUAUAGCUCUAAGGUGAAAACCCCAAUAGGGUAAUUUAGAGCUAAAGUCAUUUUUUAGGCCUCAAAAUGAAUUUCAAAGUUUCAAGGUUCUAUCCGAAAUAAAAAAUCUCGAUGCAAAGAAAGAUCAAUACCUAUUAAAGACCUUUCAAAAAAAAAAAAAAGGAAAACCAACCUUGUCCUCUUCCCAAAUCUUGUUUGGAAAGUAAUUGCUAGUUUUGACUCACAUUGAAGUAUCACAUUUUCAAUAAUAGAAAAAUGUUUUGAAAAAAAAUUAUCUCUUUUGGAGCCCAAGAAAAAUUCUUGCAACCCUCAUCGAGCUUUCCAUUAGAUAUGCCCACUAGUGAAAGGAGUUGAAUUGUCAAUUACCCUCUCAUCCAUGAGUUUUUUAAAUAAUAGUCAUCAACUUUCAAGAGAUUCAGAAGUCUUGAGUUUUAAAUUUUUCAUUAAUUGCGAAGAUAUUUUAUGUGGGGCAAUUUUUGACCACUUUUGAAAAUUUUCAAGAUUAUUUGAGUAUUUUGUACAUAAUACUGAGAUCAUUUUUUUGGGUGAAAAUGAAACAAUGAAAAUUUAAACAUAAAUUUUUCAAAAAAAAAAAAAGGGGCAAGAAAAGUCUUUGCAUUUGCAUCGCUUGCAUCUGCAUCAUAAAAAAGACAUUCAUAUUUGUAUCACUUGCAUUGGCAUUUGUAUAAGACAUUUGCAUUCACACCAUAAGAAGAAUUUGCAUUUGCAUCAUGACAUCUGCAUCCUAAGAAAAGAUAUUUGUAGGGGCAUCUACAUGAAAAAGGACAUUGUCAUUUGCAUUAUGAAAAAGUCAAAUGUAUCAAGCAUUUGCAUUCUUACGUUGGCAUUGACAUUUGCAUCGAUAUUUCCAUUAGCAUCAUUUGAUGAGAAUAGACAUUUGUAUCAUAUUUGUAUUUAUCAACUUUAUAAGUAUUAAAAAUAAAAAAAAGAAAAAAAGGGGGCAUGUUUUUAAAGUUUUGAAGUCUUUGUUUAAGAGGAAUCGUUCUCAAUCAAGAUUUCAAAGCCUCUAUUUAAGAGGAACCUUUUUCAAACAAAAUUUUGAAGCUUCUGUUUAUGAGGAACCUUCUUCAAACAAGACCUUUAAAGUUUCAAAAAUCUCUGAUCAUGCGAAAGUCAUUUUUAAAGUUUCAUUGCCUUUGAUUAUGAGGAACAUUAAAAAUUUUUUAGAUUUGUAAGACCUUCGGGUGUAAUCUCUAAAGCCUUCGGGCACAACUUUCAAGAUUUUUGGGUAAAAGAUUUUAAAAUUUUUAAAGUUCACAGAUCUCGGAUCAGAAGAGCAUUCAAAGAUGAUGAUUUCUAAGACCUCCAUGCAUAAUUUUGAUUCGCGAUGUUAUCCCGAUCAAUUUCUUAUCUUUCGACUUGCGGUGUUAUCUCAGUCAAUUCUGUAAGACCUCCGAGCAUGAUUUCUAAGACCUCUGGGCAUAAAUUCGAUUUAUGGUGUUAUCCCGAUUGAUUCUUGAUUUUUUGACUUACGGUGUUAUCCCAAUCGAUUCUGUAAGACCUCCGGACAUGAUUUCUAAGACCUUCGGAUAUAAAUUCAAUUCGCGGUGUUAUCCUGAUCGAUUUUUUAUUUUUCAACUUGCGAUGUUGUCCUAGUUGAUUCUGUAAGACCUCCAGGCAUAAAUUCGAUUCGUGGUGUUAUCCUAAUUGAUUCUUUAUUUUUCGAUUUGUGGUGUUGUCCUAGUCGAUUCUAUAAGACCUCCGAGCAUAAAUUUGAUUCGCGGUGUUGUCCCGAUCGAUUCAUUAUUUUUGAAUUGCGAUGUUAUUCUGAUCGAUUUUGUAAGACCUCUGCGCAUAAAUUCGAUUCGCUGUGUUAUCUUGAUCGAUUCAUUAUUUUUUGACUUGUGGUGUCAUCCCAAUCGUUUUGUGUUUUAAAAAAAUAAAUAAAUAAAAAUAUCCAUGAUUUGCUUUCGGAUAAAAUCAUUGUCUUUGUCUUUGCUCUAUUUUUUAUUCUCAGUAAUGUGCAAAGAGGGGCAGUUGUAGAUAUCGAUUUUGUCCGAGUUUAUCAUUUUCAUUUCAGUUUAAUAUUAAUAAUUUUAAUAAUAAUAAUAAUAAUAAUAAUUUUAAAAAAUAUAAUAAUAAUAAUAAAAAAAUGAGAUAGAAACCAGAGGGCUGGUACAGCACCGCUGUCGCCCCCGACCAACCCCUUGUCCAGGCCCUGACCAGCCCCCUAUUCAGCCCACCUACAGCCACCCUAUAGCCACUCAGAUCCCCUUAUUUGAAGCUCUUAAAAACCUCAUAGAUUCUUCCCAUUUGAAACCUCUCUCUGGGACAUAUGAAGAGCUUACCCUUCAUCACUACCCAGCCCCUCUUUCAACAAGCUCAGUCCCCAUAAUAGCACCCCAAUCUGAGCCUCAACCCUCACCAAACCCAACCCCAAACAGAACCCACACCAACCAUACAAAAAAAAUAAAUAGAAAAAUAGAAUAAAAAAAAGGACAAACACAGUCAUCCUCGUAGAGAGGAACCCAGCGCCAAAGCUACCUACAAAAGCAAAAAAAUUACGUCAAUCUUGUUUCAACAAAACAAACAAAAAAAAAAGGGGAAACAAAAACUUUGAGCCCCGAUCUAUGCUGAUCGAGGCUGUUUUUGACAAAAAGAAUGUCAGAUCUAUGAAGAGCGCAUUGAAGAGCGCUUUCGGGAGUAUUUUGGUAUUUUUCGAUCACCGACAACCACCGACAGUGACCGUCGAUGGUGACCCAGACGGCGGUCGACGUGAUGGUUUGACAAUUGGAUGGUGAGAGAGCUCUGGAGCUCUUCCCAGAGCUCUCCCUCUUUUUUUUUUCUAAAACGAAAAAAGAAUGAACAAAAAAAUUUUUUAGUUAUAUAUAAAAGACUAAGGAGCAAAACGACGUUUUAGGCUAAAGAGGAUCCCCGCGUUGACCCGAUCCGACUCGAGAUCCGCUUAACCCGACCCGUGAACCCAUUCUUCCAACAGCUGUUGAUCGGUCCAAUUGAACCGAUUUGAACCGAACCGAACUGUAGACCGCUUGCCCAAAUCGUUGACAGAACCGGUCAGACCGGUCUAAACCAACGUUGACCGGUUCGGUUCAGGUAAAAAAAAAUUUUUUUUUUGAAUUUUCUAAAUUUUUUAUAUUAUUAUUUUGUUAUUUUGAGUAUUUUUUUUAUUCUUGCAUGAUAAAUUUCUAAAUUUGUUAGAAUAAAUGUUUAAUUGUGUUUAAUAAUAAUAAUAAUGAAUAAAAUAGGAUAAUAACUAAAAAAAAUACUAAAAAAUGCUAAAAAAAUAGUAAUAAUCUAAACAUAAUAAUAAAAAAAAAAUUUCUUCUUUCUUUCUUUCUUUCCCUGCCUAGAUGUUGGAGGGAAUAACAAACAUUUUCCUAAAGAAAUAAUUUCGCCUAGAUGUUGAAAAAUUAUUAUUAAUAAAUUUUCAUAAAAAGAAAUAUAUAAGAAAUUUUUAAUUAGUUUUAAAAAAUCAUUAAAAUUGAAUUUGCUUUGAAAAUUCGCCUAGAUAUUAGGAAUUUUUAAAGAUGUUCGUAUUUUCUUAAAAAUGAAACCUUAAACACUAAUUCUUAAUUUUUAAAAUCCUAGGUUUCUAAAACCCCUAAAAUCCAAAAUCCCCUAAAAUCCAAAAUCCUAAAAUCUGAAACUCCUAAAAAUCCAAAAUCCCUUAAAUCCAAACUCCUUAAAAUCCUAAACCCCUAAAAUCUAAAACCACCCAAAAUUCGAAAUCCAAAACCUUUAAACUCUUAAAUCCGAACCCCUAAGAUCCAAACCCUUAAAUCAAAACUCCAAAUCUCAAAUUUUAAAACCGAAACCCUAAAAUCUUUAAACUCUAAAAUCAAAACUCUAAAUCUUCCAUACCUUAAAACCAAACCCUAAAACCCUUAAAACUUGAAUCCAAACCCUUAAAAUCUGAAUCUUCAAAAUUUUGAAACCUUGAUCUUUAAAACCUUUACUCAAACCCUUACUCAAAACAUUCUGAAAAUCCUAAAGACACGUGUGAAAAUCUAAUUUGAAGCAAUUUGUUCCCGAAUGUCGCCUAGAUGAUGAGGUAUUUAGAAAGUUUUACUUUGUUAAGUCUCUUCACAUGAUUUCUUAAUUCGCAUUAAUAAUAAGAUUAAUAAAUAAAAAGUAUAAAAGUAAAUUAGGAUCUUAAAUAUAAAUAAUCACACCUAAGCUCUGCUUAAAUGUUAGAGAGUCGGGGUGGCCUUAUUAUACUUAAGAAUCCAACUUUUAAAUUGCAUCUCAUCCUACAUAACAUUCAUUGGCAUACAUACGUUAGCAUGUUAUUAUCAGUAAUUAUUUGCACUAUUCUGUCUUUAAUUUUUAUUUACUACUUUGUGAUAAAAUAUUUUAUAAUAAAAAAAUAAUAAUACUUUUUAAAAAAAUUGUGAUAUUACAAAAUAAAAUAAAAAUAACAUUUCGAAAGAAAUAAUUCUUGGUACUCUGCCUAGAUGUUGGAGAGUCACCAAUAAUUUUCUAUAAAGAGUGUUAUUUCAUUUUAAGGAUUGUUGUGUUUAACUUAAAGAUUUUCUCAAUUUUUUAAAUAAAAAUUUUAGCAAAAAUAUUUUUUAAAACCGAAGGAAAUUAGUAUUAAAUUUCAAGUCAAAACCAUUUUUAUCUAACAUCGAAAAUAGCGCAUAAUUAAAUGGUACCAAUUUAUGGGCGUUGUGGGGGUGCUAAUCUUUCUCUACACGUAAUCGACUCUCGAACCCAACUUGAUUUUUUGUAAAUGAAAAUUUAUCUUUUUGAUAAACUUUAAACUCGUUUUUAUAGUUUUAUUAAAAAGAUAAACUUUUGGGUGGCCAAUCACACCCUAACAAAGAUUGGUGAUGACUCCCUUUUAUUUUUCUCAAUUUUAAAACACUUUACGUCUGGCGGUCUCAAAACCGUUACGACAAUCAUAACUAAUCUUCUUUAAGGAUAAAUUCUUAUUGCGAAAAUUAAAUAAGAUAAAAAGAGAGCAGCACUAUUUGACCAUACAAUUUUGUUCCUCCUUGAGUGGUAAAAUUUCAUUGGAUAAUUUAAAGAUAGAUAUACCAAAUUAUGUUAGGUAAAAUUAAUUAUAAAUACGAUGUUUAAAUUUAAAGUUUAAACCAAUGAAAUUUUUUCUCAUCAAGAGGAUGAAUGGUAGGGAUAAAAGUGUGGGGUCAAGAAGCAUUUUCCAUAUAUACAAUCAUACACUAAUAAUGGAUCCAAUAUAAAAAGAAUAAACGUGACUAAUGCUUGUAGUUAAUGCCAUUAUAUUGCAGGAGAUUUGCUCAAUUAUGGAGCUUGUAAGGCCAAUUAUUGAUGUGUUGAAGUACUUAGGAGAUCCAACGUGCAGAUACAUAGACCAUCAUAGAAAACUUGAAGAAAGGAUGAAUGAUCUUCGAGCGAGAGAAGACCAUCUAAAUACUCUGAGGAGAGAUAUAGAGUUGAGAAUAAAAGCAGAGCUUCGAUGGGGAAAAAUUUUAAGAGAAGAAGUGGAGAAGUGGCUUUAGAUGUGCAAAUGGUCAAUAAUAAAAUACGGGCCACGAAUCAAAGAGUGCAAAGAAGUGGCUUCUAGAUGGGCAAAUGGUCAAUAAUAAAAUACGGGUCGUGAAUGAAAGAGUGCAAAAUGUGUCUUGUUUUUCACGUGCACGCCUAGGAAAACGUGUUGUUGAAAUAAUUGAACUUGUGGAUACAAUGAUUGAACUAGGUAGAUUCACUGAAGCUCUAGUAAUUGAAAAUUCAUCCACUGUUGGUGUGCCUUUUCAAUUGGAACAUUUAGAAGGCGAGACCAUUGUGAAGGAAGAAAUUUGGAACUACUUGAUGGGUGAUGAAAUUGGAAUGAUUGGAGUUUGCGGAAUGGGUGGAAUCGGGAAAACUACUGUCAUGAAGCACAUAUACAAUCAGCUUUUGAAGGAUACUAAAGCUCUGUUUGAUAAAGUGAUUUGGGUCACUAUUUCGAAGGAACUCAACAUCACCAACGUACAGCAAGUCAUUGCAAAUGCUCUGAAUAUUGUCUCUCCCGGAACCUGAACAAGAACGUGCAGCAGCAUUAAUGGAUGAAUUGGGACAAAGAAGAUAUUUAUUAAUUUUAGAUGAUGUUUGGAAAAAGUUCUCUCUCUUGGAGUUAGGGAUCCCUAAACCAACAUCGAGCAAUGGGAGUAAAUUGGUAUUAACUAGUAGAUCUAUUGAUGUUUGUAGGUCUAUGGACUGUGAGAUAGUUAAAGUACAGCCACUUUCAAAUGAGGAGUCCAUGAAUUUAUUCUUAGAGCAUGUUGGACGGGGGGUUUUAGAAGUUCCAUCUUUAAAAGAAAUUUUGGGCCAUAUUGUUCAAGAGUGUGGUGGGUUUCCCCUUGCCAUUGUCGUGAUGGCUGGGAGUAUGAAGGGAAUGUAUGAAGUCCCUGAAUGGAGGAUUGCAUUAAGAGAGAUACGUGAACAUGUAAGAAGUGUGAAGGGCACAGACGAGGAAAUAUAUGAGCGAUUAAAAUUCAGUUAUGAUCGUUUGGGAGAUUCAAAAAUCCAAAACUGUUUUCUUUAUUGCUCGUUAUAUCCAGAAGACUAUAAUUUCAAGGAUGGAAUUAAUAGAACACUGGAUAGAUGAGGGAUUUCCUGGAAUUGACAGUCGACAAGAACUCUAUGAUAGGGGUCAUACUAUAUUAAAUAGGCUGGAAAACAAUUGUUUGUUGGAAAAGGAUGGUGGUACAAAUAAUAUGAAGAUGCACCAUGUAAUGAGGGAUACAGCAUUGUACAUCAAAAAUAUUAGUCCUCGUUUUAUGGUAAAAGCUGGCAUGGGAUUGAAAGAAUUACCAAGCAAGCAAGAAUGGGCAGAGGAUCCUGAAAAGGUUUCAUUGAUGAGGAACUACAUAUCGGAAUUUCCUCCGGACUUGUCACCAAUUGUGAGAUUCUUUCAACCUUAUUGUUGCGAAACAACAUGUCCUUACAAAGGAUUCCAGAAUUGUUCUUUCAGCAUAUGCACGUGUCACGGGUCAAGACUUAAGCUCCGAACCCGCGCGGCUCCGAGAUCCGGACAUCCACUCAUCCGACGUUCCAGAUCAGCCUUCCGUCACGGUUUACACCCUUGUGAGGUAUUGUCCGCUCUGGCUCCCCCUGGCCUCACGGUUUUAUCCUACAAAAAGCAUCUCAUAAGACGGAGGUGGUGUGAACCCUUUUAUACCUCAAAGACCCUCCUAUUAUGUUCGAUGUGGGAUUUAAGACUCUUCUUUAGGUCCGUGACACACGGACUCUGCAUUCUCGAUCUUUCUUAUACCAAUAUUGAGCAACUGCCUGAUUAAAAAAGUCAAAUGUCCCAUAUUAAAACAUGUCAAAAUAUAAAAAAAUAUUUAUUAAAUAUUAAAACAAUUAACAAAAAAAUUGAAAAAAAAAAUCAAAUGGCUUAAUAUAUUGUAUGUCAUUGAUAUAAAGUAAAUCUUACAAAAAUAUAUAUAUAUAAAUCUCAGUGAUUUAUCAAUUAUGUAAAAAUAAGAAAAGGAGAAAAGCUAAAAAAGAAAAAAAAUAAAAAGAAACAUGUAGUGUACCCUUGAUAGUGAGUUUUAAAAUAAAAUUAAAAUGAAAAAAAAUACUUUUUUUUUGCAAGAAAUUAAAAAAAGGAAGAAGAACAAAAAAUCAUACAAAAUUUUUGGUACAAGUGAAUCCCAUAUGAAAAAAACUUUAAAAACAUUUUUUAACUUUUUAAAUUAUUGAAUAUAAUAAAAUAUCGAGAGGGAAAAAAAAUAAAAAUCAAGUAGUAGGUCUCACCCCUGAAAAACUAAUGCAAAAAAGAAUAUGGAUCCAACAAAAAAAAUCAAUAAAAAUAUAUAAAAAAAAAAUGUAGGGCUUCAUAAAUUAAAAAAAAAAAAAAAUGAUGCGUCCCACUAAUUAACAAAAGGUGUAGAUCCCAAAAAAAGACAAAGAGAUAUGGUCCACCUCUAAAAAAAAUUAAAAAAAAAAUUGAAUCCCAUCCAAGAAAAUAAAAAAUUAAAAAAAAAAAAUUGAGAGACUGUCACGUAACAAAUUAGAUAAUCGACAUAUGACAAAUUCUGGUGCAAAUUUGCACCAUUUAUACAUUGGAUUUUAUUGAUUAACUAGUUUGUUACCUAUACGUUCAUAGAUUAUCUUUAUUUAUUUAAAUGUGUGUAGAUAUAUAAAUUAAAACUAUUUAUUAUCUUAUAUAUUCAAGAUAUAUGUAAAAUACUUGUAAUAUAAGUAAGAUAUCAAAUCAUCAUAAAAUUAAAAUUUUUUACUAAGAAUUUAACAAAUUUUAAAAAUAUGAAAAAUAAUAUUUGAAGAAGAAUAACAUAUCUAGAAAAUAUUAUAAAUAAUAAUAUUGAGUACAUGAACAAAAUAUUAAAAUAAAAACUAUAAGUUUCAUCACUUCGAAUUAACUUUUUCCAUCCAUUUUGUCCAAUCAUUUUUUAGUACUUACAAUUUUAUAUAAUUUUAAGAUAAAUUUUAUUUAUUUAAGAGAAAUAAUGAUUUUAAAUGUUUAAAGAAUAUACUAAAAGUUUCUUUAUUUCAUAGCCUACAAUAAUAGCAUCUUGCAACAAAUGUGGUGUUUCUUCUAUUUUUUAGGCGAGAAAUGUGCUUACAGUUAUAAUCGUCUACACAAUUCGCCAACAAAAAUGAAAAAAUCAAGCCAGCUAGAUUUAAAAAAUUUUAAUAAUUAGAGCCAAGUUCUUCUAUAUUAAGAAAAGUCAAGUUUUUCAUGAGACAAUUGUCAAACAGAAUAAAAACUAAUAAAUAUUAGAAAGAAAUAAAAAUAUGUAAUAAUAUCAUAUGUGUAAUAAUUCAUUUCUAAGAUCAAAUCGGUAAUAUUCUAUUUCCAAAGAAUGCAGUUAAUUUUUUUUUUUUUAGAGAAAAGAAUGCAAUUAAAUGUUAAUAUGCAUGUUUGUUGAUAAAAGAUCUCAUGCAAACUACUUUACAUAUGUAUCUAUUCUUUAUUAGCACCUAUACUUGGAAACAAAGAGUUCUAAAUAUUUCGAAAGAGACCACUACUGAAAAUAAGUUCAAUAUCGAUGGAUUUUUAUUGACAGAUUUGCGAUUGUUUAUCAUCAGAAAUACAAAAAAAAAAAAAUUACCAAUGGAAAAAAUUUUGUAGAUAAUUUAUCACUAAAAGUUAGCAUGGGAAAAUAAGCUUUUGGUGCCACCUAUAGUGAUGGAUUUUUUUCAUCGAUAAUCCAUUGUUAAAAGUUUCAACGAUGGAUUAUCGACAAAAAAAAUCCAUCGCUAAAAGGAAUUUCAGUAACAAAAAAGUUUAAAAAAUUUUUUUAGAGGGCAAUUUUUUUAGCAAUGAAUUUUGUCAAAAAUUCGUUGCUAAAAGUCAAAAAAAAUUUUGAAUCGAUAAUCCAUUGCUAAAAGUCUGUUUUUAGUUACAACCUCUUUCCCCUUUCUUUUCUCCCCUUUCUUUUCUUUCCCAAUUCCAAUCCCUAAUUCUUGUUAUCUCUCUCCGACUUAUCUUCUAUCCUCUUUCUCCUCUCCUUUCCUCUCAUCUCACCUAUAAUCCCCAUCAACCUCAAUCCUCGUGUCAUCCUCUCUAUGCCGCCCUCCAACCCGUACGUCUACCUUAAGCCUAUGUUGUUCUCCCCAUGGCUCCGCCUUUAAGCCUGUUUUAUUCUUUUCUCUCCUCAUCUUUAAGGCCAUGUCCUUUUCCCCUUACUGCCCUCGAGCCCAUAUGUGCCACCCUUCUCUCCAUGCCACCCUUGAGCCUGUGAUUACAACAUCUCUACCAAGGUAUAAUUUUAUUACUUGGCUUGUUGAUUUUUAUAUUUCUUUAAAGACACAUGAAUAGUAUGCAUUUAUCACAUUUGAUAUUCAAAAAAUUUGUAUAAUUUUUUUAAUAACAUUACAAAAAUAGUAAAGUGAUAAUUAAAAAUAGGAAUAUUAAAAUAUUCCUUUUACUAUAAUUGUAUUUUGACAAGGUUUACAUUAAUACAUAACAUAGAUAAAUUAAAUAAACUUAAAAGUUUAAGUAAUUAAGAAUUUUGAAUCAUUUGAAUGCAAUGCUUGUUAUAUACUUUUAAAGAUUUGAGUUAAACAUUUGAUAAUUAAGUCCUAAAUCCUAAUCAUAUGCUCAUUUCAAUAAUUUGUUUUAAAUUUUGAUGCUAAAAAUUACAUAGAGAAACAAUACAUGUAAUGAGAAAAAUAUUAGGUCUUUUUAGUUUCAAAUUCCAAAAUUGAUACUUGAAUUUUUGUUUUAGGAUCAUCCAUGCAAUUUUUUUUUAUAUUUAAGAUUAUUAAAAAUUAAAUUUUAAACAUUAAAAUUAAAUAUUGUACUUUUAUCAUUAACUUAUACUAUGGUUGGCAUACAUACAAUUCGUAGUUAAGAAAGGAAUUCUUUGAACAUUGCCUUAGUAUAUCUCUUUGAGUAAAAAUAUUCAUUUAUAUAAUCAUAAACCAUUUGUCCGCAAUGAUUAGCCAAUAAAAAAAAGAAAUUGUUUAAUUUUGUUACAUAAUUCUCUUCCAAUAACAAUUCUAUAAAAACUAUAAAGAAGAUAAGGUACCAAAUUUUAUCUUUUUUCAAUUUAAAAUUCCAUAAUUGCUUAAAAUUGACUUUUAAUUACUAUUUUUCAGUUUAAUAUACUAAGACUAAUAUUUUUUUCAACCUUUAUGAUGAUACAAUUAGGGUUGAAAAAAUGGACAAAGAUGCAAUGACUAUAUACUGUAUUAAAUAGAUAGUGUGGUAAUUGAAAGACUAAAACAUUGUAGGAAAUUGAAGUAUUGUGCUUAUUAAGAUGCAAUGAUUUUGUGAAAGGUGAAAACUAUUAUGUAUUUUACUUUGUGAUUCUGGUUGUAUAUUGUAAUUAUUGAUGAAGUAGAUAGUGUGUAGUUAUUAAAAGCCUAAACAUUGUAGAAUGAAUGUAUUGAACUAUGUUGGAAUGAUGGUGUGCUUGUGUUGGAAUCAUAAAUAUUUAAAACUUUUUAUAGGAAAACUAUAUUGCUGCAUUAUCUCAUAAAAAUGAUGAAAACUUUUUCAAUCAUCUAGAUUUCAAUCCAUAAGUAUGGAUUGAAGCUAUUGGAGAGGUUAAAACUACGCGCACUCAUGUAUAUGGCUUUAAAUCUACAGAUAGAUCUAAAGAUCUAUUUUACUUAAGUUAAUUCGCUCCUACAGCACUAACGUCUCACUUUAUUUGUGAUUUAUCAUCGGUGCCUCUUCAGCAUCAAAUACAUGAUCAAAUUGAUGAGUUAAGGAUCGAGUUGAGGACUAAGCUUAGGCCUUUCAUAAAUCAAAUAAUGCAGUUGAUGAGGUCUAGACAAGUUUUGCCAACACAAUUUUCUAUACCUGACAAUGGUAACACUGAUUCUGGAUCAAAAGAUGCAACAACAUAGUGAGUUCUUAUCUUUAUGGAUAUUUUUAUGGAUGUGGAUGUUAUGGAUUUUUUUAUGGAUAUUAUGAAUUGACUUUUAGUAUUAUAUUUAGUGGAUGUUAGAGAUGUUAAAAAUGUUAAAUUUAUAAUUUAGAUUUAUUAAUGAUUAUUAUGUGGAGUUGAUAUAUGAAUUUUUUUAUUUUUAUUAAUAAUAAUAGAAAUAACAAACUUUUGAAUUAAGUACACAUGUUAUAGGUUUCUUAAAUAAUUAUAGAUAAAUUUAAUCAAAUUAUGAAUGAAAUUAAAAAUUAUACAAAUAGAAUUUCGUUAUUAUCGACAUAUUUUAGUAUUAAUGAUGGAUUACAAAUGGAUUACAUUACCAAUGAAAUCAAUGACCAAUUUUUAGUUAAUUACCAAUGAAUUAUCGAUUGACUUUAGUGACGGAUUACUUGUGAAAUGUACUUACAGAAUUUUUACAAAUGAAAAAAUUUCAUUGGUAAUUACCAACAGAAUUUGAUUUUCACUGAUGAAAUAGCAUUAUCAACUUACUUACUACUAAUCAAAAUUUUCCAUUGAUAAUUCAUUCGGUAAAAGUAUUAUCGACAAAAUAUUGACUUUUACCGAUGAAAAAUUCUAUCAGUAAAAAUCAUUUUUCUGGUAGUGGAAAGAUGCAAUUAAGCAUUAAAAUAGAGUAAUAAAACAUCUACCUACCAAUCAUUCUUUGUAUGAGACUGGUAGAUAUAAAAUCGGUGGCAUAUAAUUAUUGCACAUGGUAUCGCUACUUGAGGCCUAUAAGUAAAUUUGUCAAUCACCAUUUCCAAUAGUAUUAUGAAACAUAAAACCUAUUUUAGAAAUAAAAGUGAUUAUCGAAAAAGCAAAUUUAAUGUAGAUAUUUAUAAGUUAAAGAUAAGGAGCAUGUAACCAACACUUAUAAAAGAGAAGAAUAAAUGCUUUUGGAAAUUGUAACUUUAUACUUUGCAAAAUAUGAAAAAGCACACAUAAAGGUAGAGAAAAAAAAUAGAGAAAUAUAAUUAGUUUUAAGAGUUUUGUUAAGUUAUUUGUUCUAAUAUGUGAUAUUUGAUCCUUUUUGAAUUUAAAAAUAAUAAAAUAAUAUAGGAUUAUUAUAAAAUCUCGAAAAAUAAAAACUACAUUUGAGAAUUUGAAAUUUAAAAAAUAUAUAUUUAGAUUAUCAAAAAAAUUAUUUUUUACAGUAAUCAAGAAAUCCAUUUUAAAGAUAAUAUAUCAAUACAUUUUAGAUUUUUAGAUUUAAAAGGAUAUAUAAAUCUAGAUCAUUAAUAAAUCCAUUUUAAAAAAAUAUAUUGUACAUUUGAGAUUUAUUCUUCUCUUUUAAAAGAUUUACUUGGGUGUUUUAAAGUUUUGAAUUUUUUAAUUCUGUUAAUGUUUUUUGUUUUUAUUUCAUUAGAAAUUUUGCAAUUUAGGUGGAUAUAUGUAAUUAAAUUAAUCUAUAAAUAAUCGAAAUAUAUAUUACUAUAUUUGGGAUUUUUAGAUCUAAAAGGAUAUAUAUAUAUAUAUAUUUAGGUUAUUGGAAAUCUAUUUUAAAAUAUCAUAUAUAUUUUUACAUUUGAGAUUUUUAAAUUUAAAAAGAUAUUUUCUAUAUUAUUACAAAACUCAUUUAAAAUUUAAAAGCAUAAUAUAUUUAAAUUAGAUUUUGUUGAUAACAAGAUUUAAUUAUUAUUUACAAAUUUUGUUGAUAACAAUAUAUUUAAAUUAUGUAUUUAAAAAAUAUAUAAAAAGAUAAUUAUAUAUAUUUAAAAAAUUUUAUAUAUUUAAAAAGAUAAAAAAAUAAUAAUAUUUAAUUAUUAUUACCUUACGUGUCAUUCAAAAAAAUUAUUCAUGUAAGCUUCUAUAUGACAAACCUUAUCAGGUGUGUAUGUAUGUCAUAAUAUAAUAUUAUACUAGCUUAUGACCUGUGUAAUGCAUAGAUUAGUUUUCUUCUUAAAUAUUUAUAAACAUAUAAACAUUAGUAUUUUAUAGACACCUAUUUUACACUUUAAAAAUUAUAACAUACUUAAAAGUAAAAUAUUGAAAUGAUAUAUUAAAAAAAACUUAUUUAAAAAAUAAAUUUGAUAAAUAAUUUUAAAAUCAUAAAAUAAAAAAUACAUGAUAAAAAUAAACAAAAUUUUGCAUCUAUACCUGUAUGUUUAUAUUGUUAAUAAAAAUAAGUUAUGUCCAUUUUAAAAGCUAUAAAAAUAUGUUAUGAAGUUUGUUUAUCAAAAUAAAUUUUUAGGAUUUUAUCUACUCCAAUUAAAUAAAAUUUAACUUUUAUUUUGAGUCAAAUAAGAAACUUUCAUUGCUAAUAACUUGAGUUACUAUUAUAAUGGUUUUGGAGCUGGAUGAUGAAUUUGAAAACAAAAAAGAAAAUGAAAUCACUACUAAUAUUUUUGGGUUAGGUAUAAUUGGUCACUUAUUAAAACAUAAUUUUUUUAUAAAAUCUUAAAAUUAAUUAAUUUAUUAAAAAAAUAAUUUUAGAGUCCAUGAAACAGUUUGGGUUCAGGAGUUGGUUACACAUAAAAAAGAAUUAGCAUCCCCACAGCGUAAAUUAAAAACGGUACCAAUUAAUUGUGUAUUUUCUUUUAAUCUUAACAAAAAAAGGGUCUUAGUUUUGGUGUUUAGAAUAGUUUUCUUGAUUUCCUUUAUUUAUCAAAAUUUUAGUUUUUUCCUUUUUUUGUUGUUAUUUCAUUUUAUUUGAGAAAAAUAAAUUUGAACCUUUUUGUUGAAAUAAUUCUUAAAAUGUUUCAAUAUGUUAGUAAUAUUAAAUGAACUUUUCCUUACCUAAAGAUUUCUUAGAUAUCAUUUCUCGGAAUACUUUAGAAUCUUAUCCUCAGAGGUUCAUAUUUAUAUUUUAAUAAAAAUAGGACAUGCAUAUAAUGCAAAUGACAAUAUAUUAAUGCACACAUUUUACUUUUUCUUUUAAAAUUUUAUUAGUUUUUGAAUUCUUAUUAUUAUUUUCUACGAAUAAAAGGGAAAUUUUUAUCCUAUUAAAAUUUUUUUUAUAAAUAUUCCAUAUAUUGGUAAUAUUUAAAAAAAUAUUCUCACUUAGAGUUUUUUUAAGACAUCACUACUCAAAAUAUCUUAAAAUCUCAUCAUCGAGUAAAAUUUUCUUUUUUAUCAUUUUUUAUUAUUUUUAUUAAUAUUUUUUAUUAAUUUUUUAUUUUUUAGUAAUAAUUCUUAAUUAAUUUUUAUUUUUAUUAAUAAUUUUUAGUCAAUUUUUUAUUUUAUUUUAUAUAAAAAAAAGAUUUUUAUUUUUUUUAAAACUUUUUAUAAAUACUUCAAUAUGCUUGUAGUAUUUAAAAUAUUUUUUUACUUACAGAUUUUUUUAAAGCAUCAUUACUCAGAAUAUCUUACAAUCCCGUCAUUAGAUGAAAAUUUUCUUUCCUCAUAUUUUAAAUAUUUUUAUUUAUUUUUUGGUUUUUGUUAUUUUUCUAAAUUUAAAAUUAUAAAAAAUUUAGAAAUUAUUUUCAUUUAUUAUUAUUAUUUUUAAAAGAUAAUGUAUAUUUAUUUUUUUGGAAAAUAUGAAAAUUAAAAUAUGCAAACAAGAAAAUAAAUAACAAAAUAAUAAUAUAUAAAAAAAUAUAAAAUAUAAAAUUACCUAACCCACCUGUCUAGAGUAGUUUAAUAGAUUCAACUUGGUUCGGUUCGGCUGGACCAGCUUUAAUGAACGCGUUUUGAUGUUGACUAUUGGAGAUAGUACUCUUAAAUGUAUCCCGAAGCUGAAUUUAGCAAGAUAUGCAGGAGAGGAAAAUGAGAGAGAGCAUAGAAUAGGUAAAGAAAAUUGAGAAUGAGGUGUUGUAAAUAUGUCACCUGCAUAGUUUUACUCUACCUUUUAUACCUUAUAAAUGAUCACAUGACUGGAUGAAUUGUUCCGUUCGAUCGGUUUAAGAUUUUCAUCCAUUUUUAUGAUUUUUCUUGAAUUUUAAUAAAAUUGAAGUUUCAAAAAUUCAAUUAAAUCAUUUUUGUACGAAGCUUAUGAGAAAAACCCAUCAAAAAGGAACAAAAACAGAAUCAAUUGAUAACAAAUUUUUUGAUUACAUAAACUCAUAUUUUACUUGUUUCUGUUUUCUUCAUAUUUGGUCAAUCUAAAUGGACAUUUUAUGAAAUUAAACACUUUAAUGUAACUUUAUAACACAUGAUAAACUUGAUUCAAAAAUCAAUUUCGAAUUAAUCACAGAAAAAUAUUAAUGUUUUAAUCAAAACAAAAAUUUAGAUUAAAACAUAAACCAAAAACUCUCAACUCCGAUUUCUCUAUCUAUACAAGGAAUUAAUAAAUUUCUUUAUAUGGUUUUAAUUUUCUUUUAGAGAGGAACAAAAGCCUUAAAUCAAUUUUGAAAAUAAAUAUUGAAAAUUAAGAUUAUGAUAACAACUAAAUUUCACUCUAAAUAAGCAAUUCACGCAAAAAUUAAAUAGGAAACAUGAUUUUAAGGUUUUAAUUUCAUGUAAUAAUGGCUUUAAUAUCACAUGUAAGUGUCAUGGACCUAAAGGGGAGUCCUGAAUCCCACAUCGAACAUAAUAGGAGAGUCCCUGGGGUAUAAAAGGGUUCAUACCAUCUCCGCCCUGUGAGGCGCCUUUUGUAGGACAAAACCGUGAGGCCAGGGGGGCCAGAGCGGACAAUACCUCACAAGGGUGUGAACCGUGGCGGUCAGGCUGAUCUGGGACGCCGGAAGGAUGAAUACCCGGGUCCCAAAGCCGCGCGGGUUCGGAGCUUGAGUCUCAACCCGUGACAAGUGGUAUCAGAGCCAGCCCUAAACCGUUCGAUCCAUGCCAAGCACCUCGAGGGAGGCAGGCAGGGUGGUCAGCCUCCGUGACGAGGGCGUCACGAGGUUGGGUGCGGGAGAAUGUCACGGACCUAAGGGGGAGUCCUGAAUCCCACAUCGAACAUAAUAGGAGGGUCCCUGGGGUAUAAAAGGGUUCACACCAUCUCCGUCUUGUGAGUCGCCUUUUGUAGGACAAAACCGUGAGGCCAGGGGGGCCAGAGCGGACAAUACCUCACAAGGAUGUGAACCGUGACAGUCAGGCUGAUCUGGGACGCCGGAAGGGUGAAUGUCCGGGUCUCAGAGCCGCGCGGGUUCGGAGCUUGAGUCUCGACCCGUGAUAUAAGCACUUACCUAAGAUCAUAAUGUGACAAUUAAACAUCAUAAAUAAAUAGAAAAAUUUAACAUAUCUGUUUGGGUGGCCAUGAUUAAAAGCAGAAGCAAAAUAAUCCCUAGAAUGGCUUGAUCUUUUUCUUCGUUUUUUUUUUUACUAGAGGCACCCAAUGGGUAAUAACCGUAACUCAUGGAAGUGAAUAAGGAGUCUUAGCCUUUUUCAUUAAAAACCCUAGAAGCCUCUCUAUUAAAGGCUUAUUGGGUCAAAGCCCUAUACAAUCGUUAAAUUACAUUGAUCCAAUAAGAUAUGUAAAGCCAAUGCUUAAGUAAUCAUGUAAAAUUAUUUAAAUUUUUAUUCUUAUCUCAUAUUAAAACUAAACUUAUUAGCUGAUUUUAUUAAAUUAUUAAAAUCACUAAUUAAAAGUAACUCACAUAUAGAAAAUUCCAACACCAAAUGCAAAGAAUAUCCUUUUACCUUUUUUAAAUUACUGCAAUAAGGAUAAUUGAAUUGUGCAAGAUGUUUAAUUGAACUCUUGAUCAUUAAUGUUGUUCCUGGAUAAAACUUUGCUAUAUGUAUCAUUGUCUCUAAUCAUCCAUUUUUCUUGGUUUUUCCUUAUGUAAAAUGCCAUGUUAUUCAAAAGUUGGGACAAGCAAUCAAAAUCCUUGGCUUGCAACAAAGUGAAAAACAAUGGAUAUUACUGUUCGUGAAGCAAUCAACUAAACUUAUGACGUUAUAUUUAGGACACAUAUUCAUUUCCUUUGUUUUGUUAUGUUAUGAGAUCUCUUUUAUGUUUAUUGUUGUAGUAAUUUAAUAUGUUUUCCCAUAUAAUAUCACCUAAAGCUUAAGUUAAAAGUAAAAUUGUAGAGGAAUGCUAAUGGUAGCUAACUAAUCGAUAAUGCCUAAAACUCAAAAUAUUACAAAAAUUACGUCAGUCAACUUUCGUAACUCAAAACCGAAUACUCGAUAUUAGAAGUUAUCUAUUAAGAUUUAGAAAUACUAGAUUUACUUCAUACCACACGCACCAUCCAAAAAGGACAUUUGAUGGGAAAAUUAAAUAUUACGGUAGGCUAGUAAAAUAUUUACAAUCAAAUAGAAUAAAAAUAAUAAAUAUUAUCAAUUGCACCCCAAUUCUCAAAAUUUUACAAAAUCACGUCAGUCAACUUUUGUAACUCAAAAUUGAAUACUUGAUGUUACAAAUUAUUUAUUAAGACUAACAAACGUUAUAUUUACUCCACGCCACACAUAACAUCAAAAAAAUGAUAUAUGAUGAGAAAAUUACAAAUUAUGGUAACAUAGCAAAAAUAUUUACAAUCAAAUAGAAUGACAACAAUAAAUAUUACAAGAAGGAAAUAUGAACUUUUAUAAUUUUGAAUAAAAACUGAAAUUAUUUAUUUAUCCCUUAACUUUUCAAUAAAAAAGAGAAGGGAGAUGUCAUUUUUCUUUGAAGUUUACCCAUUUUCAAAAUUUUCUCCAAUUUCUUUAUUUUUCUUUCUUCUUUCUUCUUUCUCGUUUCUCCUUUUCCUUUUCCUUUUUUUUUUCCCUCAUUUCUUUUUAAUCCUUCCUUUCCCUCUCAUCAUUUUUAACACUAACUCUAACGAUCAUGGCCGUUGGUGUACCAAAAUGUAAUCUAAUAAGACAUUUAAACCUUAAUAAAUUGAAUUUAGAAGCAUAAGUAGAGAUCAAUCAUCCUAAAUCUGAUCAAGUUUAUUGAUGGCAAUGUCAUCCUUAACCUCUUUUCUUUCUUUUUUGUUUUAAUCUUCAUUUUUCAAAAAUAAAUGUAAAAAAGUAAUUUUAGAUUUUUAUUAGUAAUUUUUUAAGUUGAUAUCUGCCUUUUAAAACAUAUUUAUUUUCAUGACAAUCAACGCUAAUUAUUUUUAUUUUGUUAAUCUUAUUUGUAGUUCCUCAAAAUUUGAGGUGCAAGUAGUUAGAAAUUUGAUAGUGUAAGGGUGUAUUUGUGUAUAAUUACUUUUACAUCUGCACCAACUUAAAAUAUUUGUGUUACCUUAAAAUAAAAUUUAAUUAUAAUUUUAAGAGAAAAAACUAAUAACACAAAAUUUAGUUUGAAAUUUUUUAAAAUCAUGCACUUAUAUUUCUAUCCCUUAUUAUAAAAUUAAUUACGGAACAAAAGUUUUUAGAACAAUGUAAAAUUUUAGAGAAAAAUUUUAUUUAUGUAUCAUAGGAAUACCUUAAUAUAUAAAAAAAAUUGGACUUCAGGUAAUUUUUCUCAAUUUUAUUUUUUUAAUUGAUAAAAAUAAAAUUGGAUUAAAUAUAUUUUGUUAAUUUUUUUAACUUAAUAAAAGAUAUUGAAAAUAUGGAUUGAACAAAAAAAGUUCAACCAUCGGAGAAAAAUGUUUUGAGUGAAAAAAAUAUUGCAAUAUAUUUGAUUUCUAUGUAGUAAAGAUUUAAAUAUUAUUUAUGAUAAAAUUGAUUAUCAAGAAAAUUAAAUUAAAAAUAUUACCAGAAAAAAUUAAUUGUUGGUUUAUUCUAGGAAGACGCAAAAGGCUAUUUUAGUCUUUGUGCAAAGAUUUGAGAUAAAUACAAAAUUAAAAUAUUGACUAUUGAAAAGAGAUCAUAGCCGGCUUUAAAUUGCGAAAAUGGAUUGAUGUGGCAAAUAAAAUUUUGAGUAUCAUUGGUUGAUUGUUUGUGCGAGUGCCCCUAGCAUUCUUUCUACAUUGUAAUAAUAAUUCAAUCAAAUUUAAACACAUGGCAUCAUUUGUAAUUACAGGGAAAAUCAAUUAACACAAAAAUAAACACCAAAUAAAGUGGGAAGAAAAUUCCAUUCGGAGUUGGAUUAUUUUUGGGUUUAUUGAGAUUUUAUAAUGCUUUAUACAAAUUGGCUUGGUUUCUUGACUCAUUUAGUCAUUUACAUAUUAGCUUGUUGACUCUCAACUUUUUUUUUUUUAAUUUUUAAUAUUACAAUUUUUGGGUUACUUUCACUUAAGAGUUUUAUCUUGUUAAAUAAAUAAAUAAAAUUUUAUUGACAAUGUGUAAUUUUUAAUUUUAAUGAAUAAAAUUUAAUUUUUAAUAAUUUUAAUUAAAAAUAAAUAAAUUUUAUAUCUAUGAAUAUAUAUAUAUAUAUAUAUUAUAUGAUAACGAUGAACUAUUAUUAUUCUUCCUAAUAUUUUUUGAUCGGAGCUAGGGAAGGCAAAAAAAUUCGUACCCGACGGGUUUCGGUCCGACCCGAUUUUUUAGGGUCGGUUUUUUUUUUUGAAAAUCGGGGGUCGGGUCGGGGUCGGGUCGGGUAGCAUGAAGACAAAGUCGGGGUCGGGUCGGGGUCGGGUUUUAGGCAAACCCGACCCUACCCGACCCGAUAUAUAUAUAAAAAUAAUUUUUUUAAUUAAUUUUUUAAUUUUUUAAUUAUAUAUAUAUUUAUAUAAUGAUAUUUUUAAAUAUUUAUAUUUAAAAAAUAAUAUUUUAUUAAUUUCGGGUAUGAUCGGAUCGGGUACGGUUUAUAUAGUGUCGGGUCGGGUUCGGGUUCGGGUAUGAAAAAACAAAAAAAAAUUUCGGGUAGGGUCGGGUUCGGGUUUUUUAUGCAUUAAGUCGGGUCGGGUUCGGGGCGAGCAAAACCCGCCCCGAACCCGACCCGAUGCCAACCCUGAUCGGAGCUUUCCCCGAAUUUCACAUGAUAGUGACUGAAAUAAUUUAAUUAAUGCAAUAAUACAUAUUUUUCUCCCAAUUGUAUAUUUUAUAUAUUUUUGCUUAAAAAAUUAUUAUCUUUUAGUUAGUGGUAUGCCUCUGUACCGCAAAAUGCGCAUUUUGCGGUAUACCACCAGCUAAAAUUUCACGGUUAGUCUAAAAAAACUUGACUUGACGCGAAUCUCAACGCAUCAGUCAAAUUAUUAGUUUUUUUUUUUUUAAUUUUAAAAUCAUUUUUUAACAACAAGUUGUUGAAAGUAUGACAUGAACUUAUUUUUUUUUCCCUUCAAUUGUAAAUAACAACUACUGUAUUUUUUCUCUCCGUAAAGACCUCAUGCCUUUUGGGUACUGGUAAUUCAAACUUCAUCAGCUCUUCUUGCCGUGAGAGAAGAAAGAGAUUUGCUACUGGGCAUCUUAGUCUUCUUCCUUUUUCUACUCUAAUCAAGUGCUUGGAUUCCACUUUGUUGUUUCUUUCAUUCAUUUUCCUUUCUUGGUUGCAUAUUUCUCAUCUUUAAGGCAACAAUUCUGAAUUUAUAUAUAGAAAAUAAGAAGACAGUUAGGUAAGAUACAUCUUCUUCUUCUUCUGAGUCCAAUUUUUUACUAGUUAUUUUCUCAGAUCCAAUAGCUUUUGUAUUUUAGUGGAUUUUGUGGUCUCUCUGAUUAGUUGUGCCUGUUUACUUAUGGAUAUGCAGAACAAAUUCGGAGAAUCAAUCGCUUGGAACUUUCUCUUUUGUCCUCUUUUAUAUAUAGUAAUUUCUCAGGUAAGCUUUCUGAUCAUACACUGUCAGUCAGGCGUAAUUGAUUACUUGAAGCUUGGUUUAGGUUCUUUAAAAGAAUAGAUUAUAAUUUAUGAAACCAUAUAAGAUUCGUAAGUAGAAUUUUGUGCAAUGAAGGUUCUGGCAUUUUUAUUACGCACAUUCAAAAGAUUAUACUUGGUUUCAUGUUUAUCUAAAUCUUAAAAAAAUAUUGUUAAGUAAUUAAUUAUUAAAAAUUAUUUUUAAAUUAUUUUAAUAUAUUAAUAAUAAUUUAAAAAUAAUUUUUUAAUUUAAGAGAAUUUAAAUAAAUUAUAUAUCACAUUUAAAGAAGUUUUAUCGUUAAAUUCAUUAAUAUAAAAAAAAAUUAGUCAUACAAAAUCAAAUUUUAUAGGAAUCUUUGAUAUUAAAUUUUUUUUAAUUUUUCAAUAUGUCAAUUUAGAAAGAAUUCCUUAUCAAUAAAUUUACAUAUAAAUUGUUAUUUAUAACACUCUAGUAAUUUUAUAAUUGGGAUAUCCAAAACUAAAUUUUAUGAUAUGAAAACAUUGAACUUACGAUCAAGUUCAAAACUCGAUCAUUAGACACUAUACAUGAAAUUUGUUAUUAAUUAUUUUUUAUUUAGAUAUGAUUGGUUAUAUAAUAUAUCUAUCUUUCUUAAAGAGGUCUGCACCUUAACUCAGAUUUAUGAAUUUAAUUUUUAAUUUUAAUUAAAAGAAAUUAUUAAUUUAAACAAAUAAAUAAAGAACAAAAAUAUAUAUAAAAAAAAAAAAACCAAAAACUGUCUCGGCUCCUCUAAUGUAAUGGCUAGACGGCUCGCAAAAUGGCUCCCUCAAUAGGCUCAGCUGAAGAAGGAACCCCGGGUUUUCAAGUCUUCUACACGGGUUCCGGGUUGGGCUAACAAAAAAAGGUGCAGAUUUUGGGCUAUUCAAAACACCACGUUUCAGCUUUGUAUAAAACUUCAAAAAAUUUAUUUGCGUUUGAACUUUUCCGUUCACCACUCUAGCUGACCGAAUUUUCUCUCACCCUCUCUCUAACCAAGAUGAAUCCCGGCCCAGAUUGUCAAGCUUUCCCAGAUUCCGGGACCGCUCUUCUCUGUCAGCCGUCGUCAAUCGCCGAUCACCGCCGGCCACCAGUGUUAAACUUGUACCAAAAUUCUCAUCGCGAUCCGCUCUUUCCAAUUUCCUAGCUAGAUUUCUCUGAAAACAACUAAAACUCUUUGUACCCUUCCUUAUGGUGGACUACGAUCUCCAAAACCCUAUCCACCGACGUCUGCUACCGCUAAACCGCCAUUAGUGGUGACUCAAUGGCCUUCGAAAAUCCUUAAACCCACCACCUAAACUAUUUCUCUUUCCCUCCCUACCUAAAAACAAGAGUCUCGAAAUCAGCCCACACAACCCCAAAAUACCUCAUUCCCAAAAGGCUUUUUAUUGUGAUUUAUGUUUGUGUUGUUUUGUGUUAUUGUUGUUGAUUGAGGGCUGUUGAUUUUUUAUGGUUCUCUUUGAAAGAGAAUAUAGUUUGGGUCAUUGGUCUUGGAUUUUUUCUGUUGUUUUCAUUGAAUUUUCUGCAAGUGUUCCUUUUUGAUGGUUGCUGUUUGUUUAUAAUCCAUUAGUCCAAUCCUACACAGAAAUCUUAAAUCAACAUAUUCAUAAGGAUUUCGGUUUGAAUAAAUUCAAUCCCCAAAACAAUUUUAUCUCCAAUCAUCAUCCAUUUCAACUUUUGUUUUUUUUUUUAAUUUUUGGUUUUUUUUUUUUUUUCAAAAAUAAAUUAUAAACUAAAAAAAUAAAUAAAUUAAAAAAUCAAAUAUUUGAUAGAGACUUAAGACCCAAACUAGUCCCAAAUCAAUUCAAAGCCUAAAUUGCAAAUUCAAAUUUAAAUAAACUAAUCUAAAACUCAUAUACCGUAAGAUUUUUUAUGCAAAAAUAUCUAUUAAUAAUUUUUUUUUUGAAAACAUUAUUUUUAAAUUUAUCAAAUUUUACUAUAUGGAUUUAUUUUUAUUUCUCAAAAAUUAUUAAAAUCACAAAAUUUUUCAUUAUAUUAAUAAUGUUUUAUAGUUUAUUUUUUAAAAAUUAUUUUUAAAAAAAAUUAUUAAACGUUUUAAUGUGUUGAUAAGAUUUUAUUUUAAUAUUUUAAAAAUUAACUCUCCUAUAUUUUGAUGAAAUUUUUAACAAUGUUUAUUUUUUUUUUUAUUUAAAAAAUUUAAAACAAUAAAUAUAUAAAAUAUAUAAAAAUACAAAAAAUAAAAAUAAUCUUACCAGUUCGGCUUAGUAAGUGGUGUGGCUCGGUGGCUCAACCCAGCUCGAACUGCUGGAUGCUAAAACGAGUCGGGAGUUGCGAGCACUCUAGUCGGAUUGGGCUAACGGAAGCACAUGGAUUCUCUUUUAAUAAAAGAGUGUGUUUUGGCUUCUAUAAAAGCCAAGUUUUUGCCUUACCAUUUAUUUCCCUUCUCUCUCUGAGCUAAUUUUUCUCUAACCUCAAUCUUCCCAAACUCAGAAACGAUGAACUAUAGCACUAGAUUUUGAAAAAUCUCAUCGACAACUUUAAAAUGUCGUUGAAAUUUCGUCGAAAAUACCAAAGACUUACUGAAAAACUCAAUGGAAUUUGGAGAAUUUCUGGAUUUUUUAUAAAAAAAUUUAGCAAAUCCUCCCCUCGACAGAUUUGAUCUCACAAACACUAUUAUCUACAAUUUGUCCUCAAAAUCACACUUAAAACCUUUCAAACCCGGAAAAACAAAUAAAAAAUACUCCAAAUCAGUACCCUCUUCUGGCCAAACUUUCACCCAUCUUUUUUUUAUAUUUUCACUCUCUUUUGUGUGAAUUCUCUCUGUGCAAUUGCUUUCCCCCUUAAUUGUUGCAACAACUUAGGAAUAUAUAAUAGUUGAAUCCUGAUUUAGAUAGUUAUCCAAAACAAAAAGGAGAUUGAGCUUCUAAAAAUUCAUCUAUCUUAAUCUCUAAAUUUUAUUUGAAAAAUUUUAUCAUCAAAGAAGUCCAUCUACUUUUGGAUUUUACCUAAAGAAUUGCGCAUAUCCAACAUAAUAAAAAACCCCAAUUCACUCUUGCACCAUCUUUAUCAAUGUGAGAUUUUUUUAGAAAUAGU
rnacentral:lncRNA from 1 species